rnacentral:rRNA from 1 species
UCCAGACUCCUACGGGAGGCAGCAGUGGGGAAUAUUGCACAAUGGGGGGAACCCUGAUGCAGCGACGCCGCGUGGGCGAGGAAGUAUUUCGGUAUGUAAAGCCCUAUCGGCAGGGAAGAAGAAAUGACGGUACCUGAAGAAGAAGCCCCGGCUAACUACGUGCCAGCAGCCGCGGUAAUACGUAGGGGGCAAGCGUUAUCCGGAUUUACUGGGUGUAAAGGGGGCGCAGACGGCGAUGCAAGCCAGGAGUGAAAGCCCGGGGCCCAACCCCGGGACUGCUCUUGGAACUGCGUGGCUGGAGUGCAGGAGGGGCAGGCGGAAUUCCUGGUGUAGCGGUGAAAUGCGUAGAUAUCAGGAGGAACACCGGUGGCGAAGGCGGCCUGCUGGACUGCAACUGACGUUGAGGCCCGAAAGCGUGGGGAGCAAACAGGAUUAGAUACCCCCGUA